rnacentral:rRNA from 1 species
UACGUAGGGUGCAAGCGUUGUCCGGAAUUAUUGGGCGUAAAGAGCUCGUAGGCGGUCUGUCGCGUCGGCUGUGAAAUCCCCCGGCUCAACUGGGGGCCUGCAGUCGAUACGGGCAGACUUGAGUGCUGUAGGGGAGACUGGAAUUCCUGGUGUAGCGGUGAAAUGCGCAGAUAUCAGGAGGAACACCGGUGGCGAAGGCGGGUCUCUGGGCAGUAACUGACGCUGAGGAGCGAAAGCGUGGGGAGCAAACAG